CGACCCUCAGCCCCUUCUCGCUCCUUUCUUCUUUCCUGGUCCCCUUCUUUACGCUUCCCUUCCCUCCCUUCCCUCCCUCCCUCCCCUUCCCUCCCCUCCCUCCCCUUCCCUCCCCUUUCCUCCCUUUCCUCCCCUUCCCUUCCCUCCCUCCCCUUCCCUUCCCUGCUUUACCUCCCCUCCCCUUUCCCUCCUCUCCCCUCCCCUCCCUUUCCCUCCUCUCCCUCCCUUCCUCCCCUCCUCUACCCUUUCCCCUUCCCUUCCCUCUCUCCCCUUCCCUUCCCUCUCUCCCCUUCCCUUCCCUCUCUCCCCUUCCCUUCCCUUCUCUCCCCUUCCCUUCCCUUCUCUCCCCUUCCCUCCUCUCCCCUCCCUCCCUCCUCUCCCCUCCCUUUCCCUCCCCUCCUCUCCCUUUCCCCUUCCCCUCCUCUACCCUUUCCCCUUCCCUUCCCCUCCCCUCCCCUUCCCUUUCCCUCCCCUCCUCUACCCUUUCCCCUCCCCUCCCCUUCCCUUUUCCCUUCCCCUCCCCUCCUCUUCCCCUUCCCCUCCCUCCCCUCCCCUUCCCUUCCCUUCCCCCCUCCCCUUCCCUUCCCUUCUCCCCUCCUCUUCCCCUUCCCCUCCCCUCCCCUCCCCUCCCCUUCCCCUCCCCUCCCCUCCCGGCGCGCUCCUGCCCUAAACUUCCACGAUGCGGUCUUGACGUUACUGGCAGCUUUGCGCGGCCCUUUCUUUGGCGGGACCCCGGGGUGGGGCCGGAGCGCCGGGUCCAAGCGGCCGGGAGCAAAGCGCUCGGGGCCGUUUCCGGAGCGUGCAGCCCGCGCGGGGGCCCGUCCACGCAGCGCAGCGCGGCCCGGCCGGAGCGGGGCCCCCCCGCCGACUCGGGGAGCAGGCUCGGCACUGCGCGGACGCGCGGCCUCUAGGGACCCCCAGGCCCCGGGUUCACGGCGCGGACCCGCCGCAGGCCCGGGCGGGGGCGCCCUUCACCCUGAACCGCGGCGCGGGGGCGGCUCGCUGGGGGCCCGCGGCGGGGGAGGGUCCGGCGUCCGCCGAGCCCGCGUGGCCGUCAGGGGGCGCCCGCAGCCGCCCGCGCGCCGCGUUCCUGGACCUCUGGGCCGGGCCGGGCCUCCGCACGCCUGCGGGGGGCCGGUCGCGGGGAGCCCCGGGCGGGUCGCUCCGCCCCCGCCGGCCCGCGGGCCCGGAGGCUGGGGGCUCGCACUGGCCGUGCAUCCGUCCGCCGUGGGGAGGGGGCCGGGGGCGAGGACACCGAGCCGAGGCCGGGCGCGGGGCAGGGGGCGGCGAAGAUGGAGACGGGGGGGGGGGGGACACAAAGAUGGGAAGGGGCCCGGAGGCCGAGGCCGGCGGCCGUGGGGCAGUGGCGUGCGCCCGCGGGAGGCUCUCCGCGCCGCGCGCACCGCCCUCCCGUGGCAUCUCCGGGGACCGGCGGGGCUCGCAGGGGCGCAGCGGGCGGGAGAGCAGACCCUGGGCUGUGACACGGCGGGUGCCGCGCUCCCCGCUGCCUGGCGCACGGGCCUCCGCGGCCGGGGACGCGGACUGCGCGGCGGGGCGGCCCCGCGGCGGCCACCCACCCCGUGCCGGGCGGCGGGGCGCUGCAGCCUGGGCGUCCGCGGGGCUCCCGGGCCGCCGCACCGGCCGGCCGAGUUGCUCAACUCGGGGGCGGGGGAGCUGGAGGGGAAGGCGGACCGCGGGAGCCGGGGCGACGGCGACGGCGCCGGCCCGAGCGGCCCCAGAUGCGGGUCCCCGCGCCACCUUUGUCUGCGGAGCGCCCCGAGCCUCCACCUCGCUCCGCGGGGUGACAUUAAAUUCUUGCACCCCGCCGGGGCUUCCAGGCAAGCUUUUCCCGCCCAGGCGCUCUCCGGGCCGCCGCGGCCCCACCCCCACCCCCACCCCGGCCUCCCCGGCGGCCCCGGGCUCGGCGCGCGGGACAAAAGACCCCGGGGGACCGCGCGGGCCCCGACAGCCCCCGGGCCGCCCCCGCCCCCGCCCCCGCCCCCCGCAGCCUGUGCGGCCGGACGCGGUCGCGGUCGCCCAGGUCCCCCCAGACCUGCCGGGGGCCCGGGAGCCAGGUGGCGGCCGGCGCGGCGGCUUCGGGGACCGGCCCGCUCGCGGGGCCCCCGAGUCCCCAUUCAAACUUUUGCCUCGAGCAGGUUAACAAAAAAAAAAAAAAAAAGCCCAAGAUGCCAGCGGUCCCUCCAGCUCGGGACCCCACGACUUUUCGCAGGGUUCCCCGCAGUCCCCUUCCCUCCCUUCCCCCAGUUCCGUUAG
rnacentral:lncRNA from 1 species